AUUGUUAUGGCGGGUCAGUCCUGGAAAAAAUAACGGCGCGCUAAGAAACCUUGACGGCUCGAGUGGCGAAGACAUGGUGACACUGGUUGUGGCGACAAGCGCUGAUCCGGCCUCCAUCGGCCCGGCCUCUUCUCUCUUAGCUAUGCCCGGCUGGCACCCCGGCCCCUCUCUCCAGGAUGAUGCGAGUUAUACGAACAAGGAAGUGAGGCUUAUAAAGCUCGACAAGCGACUCGUCGUAGAGAACCAUCUGGACAAGCGUUGGGAGGAAGCCACCGGCGAGACUGUCGACGACGUCGUCUUUCUCAGCAAACAUGUCGCUUCUUCUAAUAGACCUGCCCUUACGAUUCACCCCAUAGGCACGCCGCACCUUCGUGAAGGCGAGGCUUUGACUGCUGGCGGAAAGCCGGGAUGGGCUGCACCACCUAACCCCCGGAUUGGGCCGUGGUUUAGACUAUUGAAGAACAUCGCUAAUUCACAUAAUUUAGUUCCUGAGUUUGAGGUCACAUUGGAGGCUACUCAUCAUGGUCCUGAAAUCAAUUCGCCAACCAUGUUCGUGGAAAUUGGUAGUACAGAAGAGUAUUGGAAGAGACAGGAUGCUGCACAAGCCAUUGCUCUGUUGGUGUGGGAAGGACUGGGUCUUGGAGAAAGAAUUGCAGUUGGAAACUGGAGCAGGGACAAUGAUAGAAACAAAAUCCUUCUUGGUAUAGGCGGUGGUCACUACGUACCUAGGCAUAUGGAUAUUGUUCGGAAAGAUGGUGUUUGGAUAGGCCAUAUGCUGCCUGGGUAUUCUCUAUUGAUGGAAGAUCCUAGAGAAGCAAAAUCACCAACAAAUUCAACUGUUGUUGGUGGAACUUGGAGAGAAACAAUCAGAGUUGCAUUUGAGACCACCAAAUUGGCUUUCCCUGGAGGAGAAGUUCUAGCACAUCUAGAUCACAAGAGUUUUAAGGGGUGGCAAAGAAAUGCAAUUAUAAGGUUCUUAACUGAACAGAACAUAAAGAUUGGCAAACCGAGUGACUUCUGUCCUUGUUAAUUGCUGUCUAUGGCUUAUUCUUGUAACUAUACAUUAUUGGAAGUGUGGCGACUACAUCCAGUGCUACAAAUUUAAGGUUCAAUGACCAACGGCCAGAAAGCAAAGGAGCGAGUCAAGGACCCACCACCAUGUGGCCAACAUUCGAGGUGCUAACUUUCAGUCGCGAUCCAUGCCAGUGGCCAUGCUAAGGCAAUCUUGGGUCCAUCGUCAAUGAAUCUUUAACAUGAUCCAUUCACCUAUCAACGCAAGGAGAUGAGCAAACCAGAAGAAACCUUGAUUGGCUGAUCUGAAAGAUAUUUGGGUAAUGAAUUAUCUAAUAGUUAACCUUUGAUUUGAUCAGUAAAACUGUAAAACAGUUUUUUUAAGGAAAAUCGUUCUAUGCAAAA